UACGAGGGGGGCAAGCGUUGUUCGGAAUUAUUGGGCGUAAAGGGCGCGUAGGCGGUGCGGUAAGUCUGAUGUGAAAUCUCCGGGCUCAACUCGGAGUCUGCAUCAGAAACUGCCGUGCUCGAGUUUGGGAGAGGUGAGUGGAAUUCCCGGUGUAUCGGUGAAAUGCGUAGAUAUCGGGAGGAACACCUGUGGCGAAAGCGGCUCACUGGACCACAACUGACGCUGAGGCGCGAAAGCUAGGGGAGCAAACGGG
rnacentral:rRNA from 1 species